rnacentral:lncRNA from 1 species
UCUCGUCAAAACUUUGGAGGGCUCUGUCAGUUUGAAAAGAACAUGACCUUUAAAUUGUAUCAGUAUGUUUGCUGGUGCAUAAGGGAGAGGAAAAGGUUCGUCCUGAUGGAAAACCACUCAGAAGCCAAGGAGUAAUUCAGAGGGAACCAGCCCAGGAAGAAUCAAGAAAGCUGCCCACAGUGUCAUUCUUCAGCUGAGAAAAGAGAGAGUUGACUAACUCCUCGGACUGGAGUGAGGACUCACAGAGGUGGUAGGACACUAACCAUCUAUGUCUCCAUUUCCUGGGUUGUAACACUGAGGUAGAACAUCUCACUGUCCCAUGGAGGAUUAUGUUAUUUUUGGAGAUUAAUAAUUUUGGAGGAAGAAAGGUGGCUUCCUGAAAAGGAAGUCACAUGAAGAAGCAACUUACACGGUGGUCUCUUUAAAUA